rnacentral:tRNA from 1 species
GCGCCCGUAGCUCGAAGGUCGAGCGUGAGCCUUUUAAGCUCUUGGUGAGGGUUCGAUUCCCUCCGGGCGCACCA